UACAGAGGGGGCAAGCGUUGUUCGGAAUUACUGGGCGUAAAGGGCGCGUAGGCGGCCUUCUAAGUCGAACGUGAAAUCCCCGGGCUCAACCCGGGAACUGCGUCCGAUACUGGAAGGCUUGAAUCCGGGAGAGGGAUGUGGAAUUCCAGGUGUAGCGGUGAAAUGCGUAGAUAUCUGGAGGAACACCGGUGGCGAAGGCGACAUCCUGGACCGGUAUUGACGCUGAGGCGCGAAGGCCAGGGGAGCAAACGGG
rnacentral:rRNA from 1 species